GCCGCCAGCUGCAGGAUCCCGCGUGGCAGCCCCACGGCCGCGGGCUGCCGGGGGACUUCGGUGUAUUCCAGGUCCGCGGGCUCAGUGACAGCAGCGGCCAGUGCGAGGCUCGGCAGCAGCCAGAGGCUCAGCAACAGCGCUGGCAUCGGGGGUUGACGGGGCUGCAUGGACACGGGCGGCAGGGGCCCACGGGGCUGCGUGGAUGGGGAAAGCUGGCGCUGAGCUCCCUGGACCCGGUUCGCAGUGCUCACGGAAAUAGGCCACGGCGGCCACUCCCCUCCGCCCCCGGGUCGCCGCCCUUCCUCGCCUCCCUGUCCAAGCAGAAGGACCAGAAGGCGCCUCCGGGAGAGCGGGUCAUGUCCCAUGUCCCCAUGACGCGGUGAGAGGGGACAUGGGACAGUGGGGCGCCUCCUUGAGGGCACACUCCGACUCCAACUCUGGGAACUUAGCUUGUCGCCUGCGGCUGCUGCAAUUUCACAACCCUCAGGUCUUAGAACCCACUCCAAAGCUUCAGAUGUUACCAGGGUUCUUUGAGUCAAAGUCUGAGCCCUGACAGUCCUACCAAGCUGACGUGGCCACUUACAGAGAUAAUAGUGAAAAGAAGAGAGAAGUCAACUUUCAUGGUCCUGAUGCAAGAGUUAAGGGCAGUCCUCUCCCGAGUGCUGCUGCCAUGACUCACCCAUCAGGCCAGCUGCGCAGUCUGUCCCGCAGGGUGGUGUCAUGAAUGCCACAACUAGGUGACAUCUAUCUUCUAGAGUAUUCUGAGAAACAAAAGGAGGGCACAGAACAUCUUAGAGCAUCUUGCUCUUGCCUGGACAGGAAGGAGACUAAGGGAGAGCUGAAGAGUUUGGACUGUGGAAGCAAAAUGAACUGAG